GGUUGAUCCUGCCGGACCUGACUGCUAUCGGAUUGAUACUAAGCCAUGCGAGUUUUUGUAGCAAUACAAGGCAGACGGCUCAGUAACACGUAGUCAAUCUAACCUAUGGACGAGGAUAACCUCGGGAAACUGAGAAUAAUACUCGAUAGAUCAUUAUGCCUGGAACGGUUUAUGGUUAAAAUGAAUUUCGCCAUAGGAUGGGACUGCGGUCUAUCAGCUUGUUGGUGAGGUAAUGGCCCACCAAGGCUAUUACAGAUACGGGCUCUGAGAGGAGAAGCCCGGAGAUGGGUACUGAGACACGGACCCAGGCCCUAUGGGGCGCAGCAGGCGAGAAAACUUUGCAAUGUGCGAAAGCACGACAAGGUUAAUCCGAGUGAUUCCUGCUAAAGGAAUCUUUUGUUAGUCAUAACACCACUGAUGAAUAAGGGGUGGGCAAGUUUUGGUGUCAGCCGCCGCGGUAAAACCAGCACCUCAAGUGGUCAGGAUGAUUAUUGGGCCUAAAGCAUCCGUAGCCGGCUUUGUUAGUUUUCGGUUAAAUCUAUAUGCUCAACAUAUAGGCUGCCGGGAAUACUGCAAAGCUAGGGAGUGGGAGAGGUAGACGGUACUCCGUAGGAAGGGGUAAAAUCCUUUGAUCUAUGGAUGACCACCUGUGGCGAAGGCGGUCUACCAGAACACGUCCGACGGUGAGGGAUGAAAGCUGGGGGAGCAAACCGGAUUAGAUACCCGGGUAGUCCCAGCUGUAAACUAUGCAAACUCAGUGAUGCAUUGGCUUGUGGCCAGUGCAGUGCCGCAG
rnacentral:rRNA from 1 species